GCCAGAUCUAUGGCUCUGUUCUUUAAAUUUCUUGGAGGAUCUUAAGCUCAGGUGCAACGGGAAAUGUGAAUAAGGUUUCAUGGGUGAUUUUAAGUUCAGAAGGAAGAAGGA